rnacentral:rRNA from 1 species
GACGAACGCUGGCGGCGUGCUUAACACAUGCAAGUCGAACGGAAAGGCCCUGCUUUUGUGGGGUGCUCGAGUGGCGAACGGGUGAGUAACACGUGAGUAACCUGCCCUUGUCUUUGGGAUAACUUCAGGAAACUGGGGCUAAUACCGGAUAGGAGCUCCUGCUGCAUGGUGGGGGUUGGAAAGUUUCGGCGGUUGGGGCUGGACUCGCGGCUUACCAGCUUGUUGGUGGGGUAGGGGCUUACCAAGGAUUUGACGGGUAGCCGGCCUGAGAGGGUGACCGGCCACAGUGGGACUGAGAUACGGCCAAGACGCAUACGGGAGGAAGGAGUGGGGAAUAUAGCACAAUGGGCGGAAGCCGGAUGCAGCAACGCCGCGUGCGGGAAGACGGCUUUCGGGUUGGAAACCGCUUUCGACUGUGACGAAGCGUGAGUGACGGUAAUGGGUAAAGAAGCACCGGCUAACUACGG